CCAAGGACACCUACUGGACCCUGCUGCAUUAACAUUCAGAGGAAGAAGUGUCUCUGUAGGUGCAGAAGCUGCAACAGAUGCUGGUGGAGAAGCAGGAGGAAAAGGAGAGUCUGGGCCGGGAGGUGGAGAGCCUGCAGAGCCGCCUGUCCCUGCUGGAGAAUGAGAGAGAAAACACAAGCUAUGAUGUGGCCACCCUGCAGGAUGAGGAGGGUGAGCUGCCUGACUUCCCAGGAGCUGAUGCACUGCUGUCAAAGAACCAGAGUCCA